AUAAAUAAAGUUUUUAGUAGAAUGGUAAAUAGAAAACAAUCAAUCAAUCAUCAACAACUUUUAAAAUGGAAUUUUUCAUAUUUGUUAUUUAAUAAUACAUUUCACUUGUCACAUAUCUGACGUCCAAAUAAUUCUGAUUUUUUUGUGUUGUAGGGCUUGUGUCUUGACCAUUAAAAAACUCAAAAACUGUUCAAUUUUAUAGGUUAAAUGUUGAUUGACGAUAUAUUAUCACAAUUUUGAAAGUUUUUAAAUUUCAAAAUAAGUUGACUUGAAGUUUUAUUCUUCUACAAAGUUUAUAAGUUUAUGUAAAUUGAAUAAGGUAGACCAUUUAACUACAAAAUGUUCUAUAAAGUUUAUUUUAUACUUCUUUGCCUAUUUACUAGACGAUGUCUGGAUUGUGUUUCAGGCAGGCAACCACCGCCCUAGAGCCAGUGGGCAGCCGAGCGACGACCCUGUCACAGUAGUCAAGUGCCCCCUGUAGCUGUCGUCGUCCCCAGGGGCCCGUGAGAUGGAUGGAGGCGGUGGGAAUGCGAAAUGAAUAACAGACGCCCGGUGAUGGUGAGAAUACUGAUGCUGGACUGAUGAACGUGCCAACUCCACUGAUACCUCACCAUAUUAUUUGUUUUACAUAGAGCAAUCCAAUAUUUUUUAUACACUUAUGAAGUGUUUUAUCAAUAAACAUAAUAAAUAAUAAGAGUAUUUGAACAAACGAAAUUAACACUUGAAAAGUAAUGUUGUCUGUUUAUGUAAAGAGUUUGUCACAUUUUAUACUCUGAAAUUGUUUUAUAUAAUUUCAUUAUAAUUCUCAUAAUGUGUAAUAGAUUGCAUAAAAUUGUUAUUAAAAACUCUAUUUACUAAAUAA